UACGUAGGGUGCAAGCGUUGUCCGGAAUUAUUGGGCGUAAAGAGCUCGUAGGCGGUCUGUCGCGUCGGCUGUGAAAACCCGGGGCUCAACCCCGGGCCUGCAGUCGAUACGGGCAGACUAGAGUGCGGUAGGGGAGACUGGAAUUCCUGGUGUAGCGGUGAAAUGCGCAGAUAUCGGGAGGAACACCGGUGGCGAAGGCGGUUCUCUGGGCCUGUACUGACGCUGAGGAGCGAAAGGCGUGGGGAGCGAACAGG
rnacentral:rRNA from 1 species